rnacentral:rRNA from 1 species
GUGCCAGCAGCCGCGGUAAUACGUAGGGUGCGAGCGUUGUCCGGAAUUACUGGGCGUAAAGAGCUCGUAGGUGGUUUGUCGCGUCGUCUGUGAAAGUCCAGCGCUUAACGCUGGGAUUGCAGGCGAUACGGGCUUACUUGAGUGCUGUAGGGGAGACUGGAAUUCCUAGUGUAGCGGUGAAAUGCGCAGAUAUCAGGAGGAACACCAAUGGCGAAGGCAGGUCUCUGGGCAGUCACUGACACUGAGGAGCGAAAGCAU